GGCCACAUCACGAUGAAAUAUUGGUUCGCGUACGAUAACCGAAGUUCAGCAACGUUAUGCCAGUUCAGAACCUAGAUGGGUGACCGCUUGGGAAUACCAGGUGCUGUAAG
rnacentral:rRNA from 1 species